rnacentral:rRNA from 1 species
AUCUUACACCCACCCGUGUCUACAUACUAUUGUUGCUUUGGCGGGCCGUGGCCUCCACUGCGGGCUCUGCUCGUGUGUGCCCGCCAGAAAACCAAACUCUGAAUGUUAGUGAUGUCUGAGUACUAUCUAAUAGUUAAAACUUUCAACAACGGAUCUCUUGGUUCUGGCAUCGAUGAAGAACGCAGCGAAAUGCGAUAAGUAAUGUGAAUUGCAUAAUUCAGUGAAUCAUCGAAUCUUUGAACGCACAUUGCGCCCUGUGGUAUUCCGCAGGGCAUGCCUGUUCGAGCGUCAUUUAACCACUCACGCCUAGCGUGGUAUUGGGGCACGCGGUCUCCGCGGCCCUCAAAAUUAGUGGCGGCGCCGGUGGGCUCUAAGCGUAGUACAUACUCCCGCUAUAGAGUUCCCCCGGUGGCUCGCCAGAACCCCCAAUUUUUACAGGUUGACCUCGGAUCAGGUAGGGAUACCCGCUGAACUUAAGCAUAUCAUAAACCGGAGGAA